rnacentral:ncRNA from 1 species
CUCGACAAAGGCAAACUCCGAGCGAUCGGAGGGCGCAAAGCCGCGGGCCCCGCCCGGAAUGACCGGCACGGGGCAGCCGGGUUACCGAAG